AUCUACACAUCAAAACAUUGUUUAAUAAACAACUGAAAAUUGCAAGAAUAUUAUAGCCUUCAGAGUUCCCAGACCAGCAGUAUUACCAUGACCUGAGACUAUAUUAGAAAAACAAAUUCUUGAGCCUGCUUUGAUCACGGACCAGCAAUCUAUGUUUUAAUCUGCCCUCCACAUGAUUCUAUCAUGCUAAGGUUUGAGAGCUUCCACUCUAAGAGGAUUAGGAAGUUGGAGGAAAUUCUUCAAUAGCUUCCCCUUUUUUGGAUGAAGGCUAUAGGAAGUUUCCUUCAGGAAUCUGCCUCAUAACACCAAGUAAAAUGUGUAACAACUACCAAUAGGUUGUUUCCUAGGCUUGAGUUCAACAUCUGUUUGAAUUUUUCAGAGAAAAUCAAAUCAGGUGAUGCUCCCAAAUGAUGACUUUGUAAAUUCAUACCCACUGCCCC
rnacentral:lncRNA from 12 species